GAUGAACGCUGGCGGCGUGCCUAAUACAUGCAAGUCGAGCGAACAGAUGAGGAGCUUGCUCCUCUGACGUUAGCGGCGGACGGGUGAGUAACACGUGGAUAACCUACCUAUAAGACUGGGAUAACUUCGGGAAACCGGAGCUAAUACCGGAUAAUAUAUUGAACCGCAUGGUUCAAUAGUGAAAGACGGUUUUGCUGUCACUUAUAGAUGGAUCCGCGCCGCAUUAGCUAGUUGGUAAGGUAACGGCUUACCAAGGCAACGAUGCGUAGCCGACCUGAGAGGGUGGUCGGCCACACGGGAACUGAGACACGGUCCAGACUCCUACGGGAGGCAGCAGUAGGGAAUCGUCCGCAAUGGGCGAAAGCCUGACGGAGCAACGCCGCGUGAGUGAUGAAGGUCUUCGGAUCGUAAAACUCUGUUAUUAGGGAAGAACAAAUGUGUAAGUAACUAUGCACGUCUUGACGGUACCUAAUCAGAAAGCCACGGCUAACUACGUG
rnacentral:rRNA from 1 species